UUUAACCUUCAUUCUCACGUUUGAACUUUCAAUGACAACCACUAGCUAAGGACAACCAAAGUCCUUUACUGUAAAAAAAAAAAAGCUACCUAGUUUUAUGGUGCUCUUGCUAGUGCUCUUGCUAAAGAAUCUGUAAAUCAUUUAUACAAAGACAUGCAGUGUAACUAUAUACUGACUGUGCAAUAGUUCUCGUAUUUAAUUGCUGUUUCCCCUUUAUUUUGACUUUUUUAGACUCUUAAGAGCCUCCAUGGAAACUAUCAACAGAAUCUCAUUUAAUCUCACUAUAAUUAAAGAAUCAGAAAUCAUAUUUACAAAAAAAUAAUGAAACCCUACCUCGCCGCACAGGUAGUUUGUAAAGCCACCAGGGAUUUUUAAACCUAGAUCAUGUUUUGUAAACGUCUGGCUGUUUGUUGUCAGAUGGUGUAGGAUAGCUUUAGAUAAGAACAGUUCAUCUGAUGUCCUUCCCACAGUUCUCACAUUCAUUUCAGCACAGUAUGAGUGUGGCUGACAAAAUUUGCAUGUAAAUUUGCCUGAAAUGUCUCUUCCACCAUUUACCAGUGUGUUGUGUGAGAUACCUGAAGAAACUCUGAAAGUAUUUCUGAAUGAUCUGGUACUGCCAAAACUGAAAAAUGUCUGAGAAGCACACAUAUAUGAAGGGAAUCUAAACACUGAACACUCAUUAGGCUGAAAUACGGAUUGUAUAUAUAUCCAUGUCACUUCUUUCAUGUCAAGAGCAGCUUUUAGAAAUCCAAACCUAACAUGUCACCAUGUUAAAGAUUAAAAUAGACAUUGUUCAACAUAGUUAUAGUUUAAUAACCUCUAUUCCUCCCUGUCAUAAAACUCCAACAUUCAUUAACUUGACUCUGCUUGAGAGAGAGUGAGGGCCUUAAUGGUGGAAGGACUAGUUUUAUGCAAACAAGCGACAGACAAGACAAGUUACAAGAGCACAAUGAUUUCACUAAUUUGAACUAAUUACCAUAUUUCUGCAUUUGAUAAUCUGAAUUUUGAUAUGUAUUCAUAUAUUUAAUUUAUUUCCAGGCUGCAACAGAUAAAAAAAAAUGAUCUACCAAAAGCUUGAUGUUAAACUACAUAAACGUUUAUAUGAAUUGCAGUUCAGAAAAAUCAGGUACCGUAAAAAAAAAUCCAGCUAACAUCCGAACGAAGAAAAAAGUGUGAUCUCUGUGACUUUGUGGAAAGGCUGUUCGUACCAGAUGGACUGGUUUGAGUAUUUCAGAAAGUGCUGAUCUCCUGAGAAUUUCACACACAACAGUCUUUAGAGUUACAAAAGAGCAGUGUGAAAAAAACACUGAGUGAGUGAGAGGUAUGAUGGUGGCAAUGCCUUGUUGAUAAAAGAAUGACAAGAAGGAUAUUAACUCAUAUAAUCAUUGAUCACUGUUUAGGAACAAUGGUGAAAACACUGACAGUUUGACCUCUAGAGACUGUUGUGUGUGAAAAUAGCCACCAGGCACCAACAACCAUGCUAUGGUUAAAAUCACAGAGAUCACAAUUUUCCCCUAUACUAAUGUUUGAUGUGAACAAUAACUGAAGCUCUUGACGUUUAUCUGCAGGAUUUUAUGCUUCGUGCUUCUUCUUGGCUUAUUGGAUAACUCCAUAAAUGAGCAGGUGUACAGGUGUUCCUGAUAAAGUGGAAGUUAUGCUGAACUACAUUACAAAUCAGCCCCAGGAUACAAUGUCACAUGAAGAUGGUAAAAAAAAAAAUCACACAGUUUAUUGUUUUUUUAUUUAUCCUCUUGUAAAUAAAAAUGGAA